CAAGAUUUCCGACUCCUGUUUUGUGAGGUCACUGGGAGCAAAUUCUUGGAGAGGUGGCUCACCAAUCUCAAAGCAGAGGUUGUAAAGGAAAGUCAUGGACUUGUCCCCACCUCAGAGCUCUUGGAGAUGUGCAAUGCUGAGUCAGGCUGGGACAGUGACUUGUCUACUAUCUUGCUGCUGCUACAUCUGCUACCACCAUCUGCACAAGGGCGAAAGAGACCAGGAAAGAUGUCUGCAUCUCAAGCUGUCAAUAACCUCAUCAAAUUCCCAAAGGCUGGAACCAGUGUACAGCAGCAUCUAGACAACAUCACCCGAAGCAGUCAGCCCUACCAUCUUACCCAGGGAUCCACAAGAAGCAGCAUUCACACCUUCAUUGUGAUUGAGAAGCAUGCACUUCCAUGUAAUGCGACAGGUUCUGUAGGAGCCCUUGAUGAACUCUUUAGGGCCCAUUAUGUCUUUGGUACAUCAUACAGUUCAUCCCUGACCAACUUUGUUACUUUUCUGCAACUACGACAUUGGGGAAAUGUCAUAUUGCUUUCUCUAGUGAGCAUCAUAGAACUGUGAAUUGUAAAGG
ensembl:lncRNA